rnacentral:rRNA from 1 species
UAGUCCACGCCGUAAACGAUGGAUACUCGGUGUUGGUCCUCUAUUAUUGGAGCAGCGCCUAAGCUAGCGCAUUAAGUAUCCCACCUGGGGAGUACGAUCGCAAGGUUGAAACUCAAAGGAAUUGACGGGGGCCCGCACAAGCGGUGGAGCAUGUGGCUUAAUUCGAUGCAACGCGAGGAACCUUACCUGGGCUCGAACACUACCGGACAACCCUUGAAAGGGGGUCUUCUUCGGACUGGUAGUGAGGUGCUGCAUGGCUGUCGUCAGUUCGUGUCGUGAGAUGUUGGGUUAAGUCCCGNAACGAACGCAACCCCUAUCGCUAGUUACCAGCGGGUAAUGCCGGGGACUCUAGCGAGACUGCCUGCGCAAGCGGUGAGGAAGGUGGGAUGACGUCAAGUCAUCAUGGCCUUUAUGCCUAGGGCUGCACACGUGCUACAAUGGUCGGUACAACGGGCUGCCACUUCGCGAGAAGGAGCUAAAUCCUAAAAAGCCGGCCUCAGUUCGG